AUUGAACGCUGGCGGCAGGCUUAACACAUGCAAGUCGAGCGAGCGGCGGACGGGUGAGUAAUGUCUGGGAAACUGCCUGCUGGAGGGGGUUAACUACUGGAAACGGUAGCUAAUACCGCAUACCAUCAGAUGUGCCCAGAGGGGAUUCGCUAGUAGGUGGGGUAAUGGCUCACCUAGGCGACGAUCCCUAGCUGGUCUGAGAGGAUGCCCAGCCACACUGGAACGGAGACACGGUCAAGACUCCUACGGGAGGCAGCAGUGGGGAAUAGUGCACAAUGGGGGCAAGCCUGAUGCAGCCAUGCCGCGUGUGGGAAGAAGGCCUUCGGGUUGUAAAGAACUUUCAGCGAGGAGGCGUUACUCGUAGAAGAAGCACCGGCUAACCCCGUGCCAGCAGCCGCGGUAAUUC
rnacentral:rRNA from 1 species